rnacentral:ncRNA from 1 species
CGAAAAUGUACCGGGGCUAAAUAGUUUACCGAAGCUGUGGAACAUACCAUUAGGUAUGUUGGUAGGAGAGCGUUCUAAGGGCGUUGAAGGUAGAUCGUGAGGACUGCUGGAGCGCUUAGAAGUGAGAAUGCCGGUAUGAGUAGCGAAAGACAGGUGAGAAUCCUGUCCACCGAAUGACUAAGGUUUCCUGGGGAAGGCUCGUCCGCCCAGGGUUAGUCGGGACCUAAGCCGAGGCCGAAAGGCGUAGGCGAUGGAUAACAGGUUGAUAUUCCUGUACCCGUUGUUUUUGUUUGAGCAAUGGAGGGACGCAGAAGGCUAAGGAAUCAGACGAUUGGAAAUGUCUGUCCAAGCAAUGAGUCUUGAGGCGAGUCAAAUGCUUGCUUCUCUAAGGACAAGUUGUGAUGGGGAGGGAAAUAAUAGUACCGAAGUUCCUGAUGUCACACUGCCGAGAAAAGCUUCUAGUGAGAAAACAAUGGCCCGUACCGCAAACCGACACAGGUAGUCGAGGAGAGAAUCCUAAGGUGAGCGAGAGAACUCUCGUUAAGGAACUCGGCAAAAUGACCCCGUAACUUCGGGAGAAGGGGUGCUGAUCUAACGAUCAGCCGCAGUGAAUAGGCCCAAGCGACUGUUUAUCAAAAACACAGGUCUCUGC